AGAGUUUGAUCCUGGCUCAGGAUGAACGCUAGCUACAGGCUUAACACAUGCAAGUCGAGGGGCAGCAUGUUGGUUGCUUGCAACCAAUGAUGGCGACCGGCGCACGGGUGAGUAACGCGUAUCCAACCUACCCUUGCCCAUCGGAUAACCCGUCGAAAGGCGGCCUAACACGAUAUGCGGCUCACAGCAGGCAUCUAAGGUGAACGAAAUGUGAAGGAGAAGGAUGGGGAUGCGUCUGAUUAGCUUGUUGGCGGGGUAACGGCCACAAGGCUACGAUCAGUAGGGGUUCUGAGAGGAAGGUCCCCANAUUGGAACUGAGACACGGUCCAAACUCCUACGGGAGCA
rnacentral:rRNA from 1 species